GACGAACGCUGGCGGCGCGCCUAACACAUGCAAGUCGAACGGAGCUGAGAGAAGCUUGCUUUUCUUAGCUUAGUGGCGAACGGGUGAGUAACGCGUGAGUAACCUGCCCUGGAGUGGGGGACAACAGUUGGAAACGACUGCUAAUACCGCAUAAGCCCACGAUCCGGCAUCGGAUUGAGGGAAAAGGAUUUAUUCGCUUCAGGAUGGACUCGCGUCCAAUUAUCUAGUUGGUGAGGUAACAGCCCACCAAGGCGACGAUUGGUAGCCGGACUGAGAGGUUGAACGGCACUAUUGGGACUGAGACAAGGAGCAGAUUCCUACGGGAGGAAGCAGUGGGGGAUAUUGCACAAUGGGGGAAACACUGAUGCAGCGGCGUCGCGUGGAGGAAGAAGGUGUUAGGAUUGUAAACUCCUGUCGAUAGGGAAGAUAAUGACGGUAACUACCAAGAAAGCACCGGCUAACUACGUG
rnacentral:rRNA from 1 species